UGGGCUUGAAAAGCAGUGGAUCGGUUGUGAAAGCAGCCUUCUCUUUGGAGCCGCUGUACAGGUGCUGCAUGGCUGUCGUCAGCUCGUGCCGUGAGGUGUUGGGUUAAGUCUCGCAACGAGCGCAACCCCUACCAUUAGUUGCCAUCAGGUUAUGCUGGGCACUCUAAUGGGACUGCCUACGCAAGUAGUGAGGAAGGUGGGGAUGACGUCAAGUCAGCAUGGCCCUUACGCCCAGGGCUACACACGUGCUACAAUGGGUACUACAAUGGGUUGCUAAGCCGCGAGGUGGAGCCAAUCCCUUAAAAGUAUCCUCAGUUCGGAUUGGAGUCUGCAACUCGACUCCAUGAAGC
rnacentral:rRNA from 1 species